rnacentral:rRNA from 1 species
AUUUAUUAUAAAAAGGUAAUAAAAUAAAUUUAAACUAAUAAAAACUGGCAAUUAUAAAAUUUUAGAGAAGUUUGUAUUUUAAUCGUCAAUACUCGUUAAUUUUUACUUUAAUUAAAAGUUUAUAUACCGCUGUUUAACGAAAAAUAAAAAAUUAAAUUUCCAAAUAAAUAACAUUAAAAAAUCAAGUCAAGGUGUAACUAACAUAAAAGAUAAUAUUAACUACAAAUAAUAAAUAAUUAUGAAUUUUAUAUUUAAAUAAAAAUAAAAUAGAAUCUAAAAACAAAUAUAAUUUAAAAUAUUAUAUUGAAAUAAUAUUUUAAUGU